rnacentral:rRNA from 1 species
CUAGUAAAGUGGCGCACGGGUGAGUAACGCGUGGGUAAUCUACCUUCGAAUUGGGGAUAACGUUGCGAAAGUGACGCUAAUACCGGAUAAUAUCAUAAGGACCUUGGUUCUUUUGAUCAAAGAUGGCCUCUCCUUGGAAGCUAUUGUUUGAAGGUGAGCCCGCGUCCCAUUAGCUUGUUGGUGGGGUAAUGGCCUACCAAGGCAGCGAUGGGUAGCUGGUCUGAGAGGAUGAUCAGCCACACUGGAACUGACACACGGUCCAGACUCCUACGGGAGGCAGCAGUGAGGAAUUUUGCGCAAUGGGGGAAACCCUGACGCAGCAACGCCGCGUGAGUGAUGAAGGCUUUCGGGUCGUAAAGCUCUGUCAAGUGGGAAGAACCCACAUGGUGAUAAUACCACUAUGUGCUGACGGUACCACUGAAGGAAGCACCGGCUAACUCCGUGCCAGCAGCCGCGGUAAUACGGGGGGUGCAAGCGUUAUUCGGAAUUACUGGGCGUAAAGAGCGCGUAGGCGGUCUUUUAAGUCGGAUGUGAAAGCCCGGGGCUCAACCCCGGAAGUGCAUUCGAAACUAUCAGACUUGAGUAUGGGAGAGGGAAGUGGAAUUCCUGGUGUAGCGGUGAAAUGCGUAGAUAUCAGGAGGAACAUCGGUGGCGAAGGCGACUUCCUGGACCAAUACUGACGCUGAGGCGCGAAGGCGUGGGGAGCAAACAGGAUUAGAUGCCCUGGUAGUCCACGCAGUAAACGUUG